AGAGUUUGAUCCUGGCUCAGGACGAACGCUGGCGGCGUGCCUAAUACAUGCAAGUCGAGCGAGCUGAAUUCAAAGAUUCCUUCGGGAUGAAUUGUUGGACGCUAGCGGCGGAUGGGUGAGUAACACGUGGGCAAUCUGCCCUAAAGACUGGGAUACCACUUGGAAACAGGUGCUAAUACCGGAUAACAACAUGAAUCGCAUGAUUCAAGUUUGAAAGGCGGCGCAAGCUGUCACUUUAGGAUGAGCCCGCGGCGCAUUAGCUAGUUGGUGGGGUAAAGGCCUACCAAGGCAAUGAUGCGUAGCCGAGUUGAGAGACUGAUCGGCCACAUUGGGACUGAGACACGGCCCAAACUCCUACGGGAGGCAGCAGUAGGGAAUCUUCCACAAUGGACGCAAGUCUGAUGGAGCAACGCCGCGUGAGUGAAGAAGGUUUUCGGAUCGUAAAGCUCUGUUGUUGGUGAAGAAGGAUAGGGGCAGUAACUGGUCUUUAUUUGACGGUAAUCAACCAGAAAGUCACGGCUAACUACGUGCCAGCAGCCGCGGUAAUACGUAGGUGGCAAGCGUUGUCCGGAUUUAUUGGGCGUAAAGCGAGCGCAGGCGGAAUGAUAAGUCUGAUGUGAAAGCCCACGGCUCAACCGUGGAACUGCAUCGGAAACUGUCAUUCUUGAGUGCAGAAGAGGAGAGUGGAACUCCAUGUGUAGCGGUGGAAUGCGUAGAUAUAUGGAAGAACACCAGUGGCGAAGGCGGCUCUCUGGUCUGCACUGACGCUGAGGCUCGAAAGCAUGGGUAGCGAACAGGAUUAGAUACCCUGGUAGUCCAUGCCCGUAAACGAUGAGCGCUAGUGUUGGGGACUUUCCGGUCCUCAAUUGCCGCAGCAAACGCAUAAGCGGCUCCGACUGGGGAGAACGACCGCAAGGUUGAACUCAAAGGAAUUGACCGGAGCCCGCACAGACCGCGGAGCAUGGUGUUAAUUCGAGGCAUCACGCAAAACCUAACAGGCCUUGACUCCUGUGUCAGAGCUAAAGAUAGCUGGUUCCAUCCGGGAAGCACAAAGAACCGGGGUAUCAGGAUGUCUCCACU
rnacentral:rRNA from 1 species